ACUAUGAAAGCCUCUUCAAAGAUGAAAGAACAAACAGAAUGGCUUCUGUAGGAGUGGGAAGAAUUUCAUGAUUGGAUGGCUUGUCACCAGGCGGUGAGAGUCGUAUUCUUGGGGGCUAGAGGAGCAGGAAGGCCCCAAGGAGGUUCCAAUGUGGCUCCAUGCAGCCUGCCCAGAGGAAAUGUGCAACCCACGCUCUCAGGGACCUCCCUAGCAUGCAGAUCCCUGAGGGAAAAUUUGCAAAGCCUUUGAGUUCCUGCAAGAGAGGCUCCAGAAACAUGAGCUGUUGAAACAUCUGGAUGGAUCCAGACUGGUAUCUGCUCAUCUUCAUGCAAAAUGGCAUUGGCUCUGAAGCAUUGAGGUCUACAGAAAAGACAGAAACUAAUGGGCUCACUGCCGUGAAUAUCAAGUCACAGAAGAGCUGUCUCCUAAAAACACCGUCAUUCCCCAGGUCCCCAGAUAAAGGUCUUCCUAGUAUUUGCAGAGUCGUGAUGUCUGUGACAAGCUCUUUACCACGACCUGUCAUCUCUUUAAGUCUGCACUCAGUAUACUGAUGGGGGUGUAAGAAGCUUUUGAGCUACAGGCAUUUUUGUGAAGAGGAAUAAACAUAGAUACCCACAGCCGCCAAAACCAA